UUUUUUGCAGAUAGAAAUGGGAACUUUCCACCUAUGCCGAAAAGCACAGGACUAUCAACUGCGGCCAAAGCUGGGAUAUCUGUAGCAGCAAUAGUAGGAGUAUUUUUAUUGGCAGGUUUAAUCUAUGUGAGAUUUUACAGAAAGAAGAAAGAGAAGGUCUCAUUGCUGCCAAACUUCUGAAAAUCAAUCCCAUCACUUUGGUAAUCAUAGACUGAUUUUUUUUUUUUUUCUUUUCUUUCUUUUGAUACAUAUUUUAGGGUAUUAAAUAAAUAUGUGAACUUCUCUUUUUCUAAUGGUCGUGUGUAUUUUGUGAAGGGUA